UUCGCAAUGCCCGAAAGGGUGACGAAGCGACGCCGCGUGUGGGAAGAAGGCCUUCGGGUUGUAAACCACUGUCGGGAGUUAAGAAAUGCAAGGAUAUUAAUAGUGUCUUUGCUUGACUAAGGCUCCGGAGGAAGCCACGGCUAACUCUGUGCCAGCAGCCGCGGUAAUACAGAGGCGGCAAGCGUUGUUCGGAAUUAUUGGGCGUAAAGAGCACGUAGGCGGCUAUGUAAGUCGGUUGUGAAAGCCUUCCGCUCAACGGGAGAACAGCAUCCGAUACUACAUGGCUUGAGUGCGGGAGGGGAGAGUGGAACUUCUGGUGGAGCGGUGAAAUGCGUAGAUAUCAGAAGGAACGCCGGCGGCGAAAGCGGCUCUCUGGCCCAUAACUGACGCUGAGUGUGCGAAAGCUAGGGGAGCAAACGGGAUUAGAUACCCCGGUAGUCCUAGCCGUAAACGAUGGGCACUAAGUAGAGGGGUUUUA
rnacentral:rRNA from 1 species